rnacentral:rRNA from 1 species
AGCUCCAUUAGCGUAUAUUAAAGUUGUUGCAGUUAAAAAGCUCGUAGUUGGAUUUCGGUUCGGGUCGGGGCGGUGGCGUCGCGAGACGUCUACCUCCCGGCCAGUCUCUCUUCUCGAAGACCGCGAGUGCCCUUCGCUGGGUGCUCGUCGGGAUUCGGGACGUUUACUUUGAAAAAAUUAGAGUGUUCAAAGCAGGCAGUAAGUGUGCCGGAAUACAUGAGCAUGGAAUAAUGGAACAGGACUACGGUCACUGCACUUUUCCGUUGGUUUCGGAGGGCCGAAGUAAUGAUUAAGAGGGACAGUUGGGGGCAUCCGUAUUUCGCAGUCAGAGGUGAAAUUCUUGGAUCUGCGAAAGACGAACGAGUGCGAAAGCAUUUGCCAAGAGUGUUUUCAUUAAUCA